AGCUCAGAUGGAGAUCGAUUGCCGUGGAAGCCCGGAUGGAGACCGCUUAUUGCAGAAGCUCGAUUAAAGUUCGCUUGCAAUAGAAGUUCGGACGGAAUUUGCUUACUGUAGAAGCUCAGAUGAAAUUCGGAAGGUGGUUGACCACUGUAGAAACUUGGAUGGAGUCUGGUUACUAUAGAAGCCCGGACAUUGAUGAAGUUCAGAAGAAGCUCGGAGUAAAGUUGAUCAUGAC
rnacentral:lncRNA from 1 species